AUGCAUGUCUAAGUAUAAGCAAUUAUACGGCGAAACUGCGAAUGGCUCAUUAAAUCAGUUAUUGUUUAUUUGAUAGUACCUUACUACUUGGAUAACCGUGGUAAUUCUAGAGCUAAUACAUGCUAAAAACCCCGACUUCGGGAGGGGUGUAUUUAUUAGAUUAAAAACCAAUGCCCUCCGGGGCUUCUUGGUGAUUCAUGAUAACUUCUCGGAUCGCACGGCCUUGCGCCGGCGACGGUUCAUUCAAAUUUCUGCCCUAUCAACUUUCGACGGCUGGGUAUUGGCCAGCCGUGGUGACAACGGGUAACGGAGGGUUAGGGCUCGACCCCGGAGAAAACGCCUGAGAAACGGCGUUUACAUCCAAGGAAGGCAGCAGGCGCGCAAAUUACCCAAUGCCGACUCGGCGAGGUAGUGACGAUAAAUACUGGUACGGGGCUCUUUCGGGUCUCGUAACUGGAAUGAGUACAAUUUAAAUCCCUUAACGAGGAACAAUUGGAGGGCAAGUCUGGUGCCAGCAGCCGCGGUAAUUCCAGCUCCAAUAGCGUAUAUUAAAAUUGUUGAGAUUAAAAAGCUCGUAGUUGAACCUUGGGCCUGGCUGGCCGGUCCGCCUCACCGCGUGCACUGGUCCGGCCGGGCCUUUCCCUCCGGGGAACCCCAUGCCCUUCACUGGGCGUGGCGGGGAACCGGGACUUUUACUUUGAAAAAAUUAGAGUGUUCAAAGCAGGCCUAUGCUCGGAUACAUUAGCAUGGAAUAAUAGAAUAGGACGUGCGGUUCUAUUUUGUUGGUUUCUAGGACCGCCGUAAUGAUUAAUAGGGACAGUCGGGGGCGUCAGUAUUCAAUUGUCAGAGGUGAAAUUCUUGGAUUUAUUGAAGACUAACUACUGCGAAGGCAUUCGUCAAGGAUGUUUUCAUUAAUCAGGAACGAAAGUUAGGGGAUCGAAGACGAUCAGAUACCGUCGUAGUCUUAACCGUAAACUAUUAAGUCUAGGGAUCGGACGGUGGUUCUAUUUGCCCCGUCCGGCACCUUACACGAAAGUAUAAGAGCUUAUUCUGGGGAAAAUACGG
rnacentral:rRNA from 1 species